rnacentral:rRNA from 1 species
UGUUAUGUACAUACCUAUAGUGUUCAUACAUUUGAUCCCAUCAAAACUCCGUAAUUAAGUACGGUUGGGUUAGAGUAGUACCAAGAUGGGUGACCUCAUGAGAAGUCCUAGUAUUUUACAU